GAGUUUGAUCCUGGCUCAGAUUGAACGCUGGCGGCAUGCCUUACACAUGCAAGUCGAACGGCAGCACGGGAGCUUGCUCCUGGUGGCGAGUGGCGAACGGGUGAGUAAUAUAUCGGAACGUACCCUAGAGUGGGGGAUAACGCAGCGAAAGUUGCGCUAAUACCGCAUACGAUCUUACGGAUGAAAGUGGGGAUCGCAAGACCUCAUGCUCAUGGAGCGGCCGAUAUC
rnacentral:rRNA from 1 species